AUUGAACGCUGGCGGCAGGCCUAACACAUGCAAGUCGAACGAGUGGCGGACGGGUGAGUAAUGUCUGGGAAACUGCCUGAUGGAGGGUGAUAACUACUGGAAACGGUAGCUAAUACCGUAUACCCUCAGAUGUGCCCAGAUGGGUUUAGCUUGUUGGUGGGGUAACGGCUCACCAAGGCGACGAUCUCUUGCUGGUCUGAGAGGAUGACCAGCCACACUGGAACUGAGACACGGUCCAGACUCCUACGGGAGGCAGCAGUAGGGAAUCUUCUGCAAUGGGCGAAAGUCUGACCGAGCAACGCCGCGUGAGUGAAGAAGGUUUUCGGAUCGUAAAGCUCUUUUGGUAGAGAAGCGGUAGCUAAACAGAAAGCCACGGCUAACUACGUGCCAGCAGCCGCGGUAAUAC
rnacentral:rRNA from 1 species